AAAAUUUGAUGACNUAUAGAAUACUCAAGCUUGCAUGCCUGCAGGUCGACUCUAGAGGAUCCCCGGGUACCGAGCUCGAAUUCCAGGUGUAGCGGUGAAAUGCGUAGAGAUCUGGAGGAAUACCGGUGGCGAAGGCGGCCCCCUGGACGAAGACUGACGCUCAGGUGCGAAAGCGUGGGGAGCAAACAGGAUUAGAUACCCUGGUAGUCCACGCCGUAAACGAUGUCGACUUGGAGGUUGUGCCCUUGAGGCGUGGCUUCCGGAGCUAACGCGUUAAGUCGACCGCCUGGGGAGUACGGCCGCAAGGUUAAAACUCAAAUGAAUUGACGGGGGCCCGCACAAGCGGUGGAGCAUGUGGUUUAAUUCGAUGCAACGCGAAGAACCUUACCUGGUCUUGACAUCCACGGAAGUUUUCAGAGAUGAGAAUGUGCCUUCGGGAACCGUGAGACAGGUGCUGCAUGGCUGUCGUCAGCUCGUGUUGUGAAAUGUUGGGUUAAGUCCCGCAACGAGCGCAACCCUUAUCCUUUGUUGCCAGCGGUCCGGCCGGGAACUCAAAGGAGACUGCCAGUGAUAAACUGGAGGAAGGUGGGGAUGACGUCAAGUCAUCAUGGCCCUUACGACCAGGGCUACACACGUGCUACAAUGGCGCAUACAAAGAGAAGCGACCUCGCGAGAGCAAGCGGACCUCAUAAAGUUGCGUCGUAGUCCGGAUUGGAGUCUGCAACUCUACUCCCUGAAGUUCGGAAUCGCUAGUAAAUCGUGGAUUAAUAAUGCCACGGUGAAUUCCUUUCCCGGGCCUUUGUACACCCCCCGCCCCGUCACACAUGGGAUGUGGUUUGUAAAAGAAAUAAGUAGCUUUAACCUUCGGGAAGGGCGCUUACCACUUUUGAUUCAUUGACUGGGGGUGAAAGUCUAACAAGGUAAACCUUGGGGGAACCUGUCGGUUU
rnacentral:rRNA from 1 species